rnacentral:rRNA from 1 species
GAUGAACGCUAGCGGCAGGCCUAAUACAUGCAAGUCGGACGGGAUUCAGGAGCUUGCUUCUGAUGAGAGUGGCGCACGGGUGCGUAACACGUAUGUAACCUACCUUUAUCAGGGUGAUAGCCUCUCGAAAGAGAGAUUAAGCCCGCAUAAAAUCACAGCACAGCAUUGUUUAAUGAUCAAAUAUUUAUAGGAUAAAGAUGGGCAUGCGGAACAUUGGCUAGAUGGCGGGGUAACGGCCCACCAUGGCGACGAUGUUUAGGGGAUCUGAGAGGAUGGGCCCCCAGACUGGGACUGACACACGGAGCAGACUGAUACGGGAGGCAGCAGUAAGGAAUACUGGUCAAUGGACGGUAGCCUGAACCAGCCAUGCCGGGUGCAGGAAGACGGCCCUACGGGUUGUAAACUGCUGUUAGACGGGAAUAAACCCAGGUACGGGUAUCUGGCUGAAGGUACUGUAAGAAUAAGGAUCGGCUAACUCCGUG